CAACCCUCAAGCUCUGCUUGGUAUUGGGUGUCACCUAACAUGGUGCAUCUUAAAAUCAGUGGCAGUGCCAUCUGGCUUCCAAGUGUAGUAAUAUUUCUUGCUUUGGAAGUUUGGAUGUGUGCUUGCCAACAACUUCUAAUCUAUCAAA
rnacentral:misc_RNA from 1 species